rnacentral:lncRNA from 1 species
GUUGCUAUAUAACCAAACUGUUGCCCGCUUUUUUUCCUCCUUUUCAUGCUCUAGAAUUGAUCCGGUUUGACCCGGAUUCGACCCGACCUGCAACCUUGACCCGGACGGAUCUCGCGAUUCCGGCUACCUCACCGGCCAAGCUUGGUACCGAUCUGAAGCUUGGAAGCCGGCCGUCAUAACCCAGCUGUCCUCGUUGCCGGAAAACGGCAAAAACCCAUCAACAUCGCCGUUGAUUUCGCCGGAGUUUGGGCACACCUUCAGCUGGGCUCUACUCCUCACGUCACCAGCAUCAUUUUCCGACCAACCUUGUCACCUGAAACGGCCGGAUUGUCGACGAUCGGCCACUUGGAAAGCUCGCGGCUUUGGGAGCACGAUCCGCCGCCAUCACCGCGCGUGGGAACUCAUGGCCACCACCGUUGGACUCACCGAGGUCUAAACUAUCAGAGCUAAGCUUCCCAUCGUCGUUGACUGAAGUCCGGUCACCGUUGACCGGCAGGGGCAAUUCGGUAAUUUCAUAAAACUUUAGGGUGAAUUUGUAAUUUGAGGAAUCAGUGGAUAAUUUGGUAAUUUUAAGUUAGGGCAGUGAGGUAAUUUGAGAUUUCGAGGGUAAUUCGGUAAUUUAAAUCAUUAAGGACAUUUUGGUAAUUUUACACGCCGAGGGUAAUCUCGUAAUUUCUAAUAUUGUGGUAAUUUCGUGAUCUGAAUUGAGGACAAUUUAGUAAUUGAAUAUUCUGAGGAUAAUUUGGUAAAAUAAUGAUGUUGGGGGCAUUUUGGUAAUUUUGGCAUGUAGGAGUAUUUUGGUAAUUUUGUGCAUUUGGGAGUAGUUUUUUGUGGAUAGAUAUUCGUUCGAGAAUUAUUAUGUUAAAUUAGUUAUAUUUUAAGUUUAUGGAGAAUGAUUAUGUCAUUUCCUUGAUUAGGAAGAUCCGCGAACGAGAAUCAACCCGCGAACAUUGUUGAUACCGAGUCUGGACUUUGUCACUGUGAGUGAAAUAUACAAAACCUAUUUUCAUAGUAUAUGCUGAUUUUAUGAUACAGUGCAGUAUGUUUUGUUAAUAAGUAUUUGAUGCUUCGAUUUAAUGAUUUUCUAGGAAAUUGAUUUUUAUCUCUCGCUCUCUCACGUGCCCCUCUCUCUACAACAACUACAAUUUAUUUGAUAUCGAAGGAUCUCAACUCAUCAAAGCAAUGGCGGUGUACUCAAGGAUUCUAUCUCAAACGGAUGUUUGUAAUAUGCUGGCACUUCCUAGCACCUGUAUUGGAAAUUUUUUUCCGGCAUUCCCAGCUGACCAAUACGAUCAACAGUUGGUUGUAGAGGACGAGAAUGGAAAACAUUGGGAAUUCUCCUUGCGCAUCCGUCGGGGACAGUACAAGAUGCCCUGUAUCAGCAAACAAACCUGGCAUCCUUUUGUUGUGGAAAAGCAAGCUGAAGUUGGUGAUAAGGUUGAGUUUUCUAGGCAAACAGAUGGAGCUACCGGAUCAGAAUUCAGGUACAAGAUUAGAGUGAUGAAGCCAUAGAACCCACCAGCGGAGCUAUUCGGUUCUACUAUCGAUUGUGUUCGGCGCAUUCCAAACAAUUAAAAUGGACAACUGUUCGCUUUCUUUAUUAAUUGCAUGCUAUUAAACAUAUUAUUCGGUUUUUCUUUUCUAGUGGAAAUAAGAUUUGUUUGCAUUAAAAAAUUAAAAAAAAGUUUAUUAUUAUACUGAUUUGCCAGAAUUGCAGUUUAUGUUCAAAAAGUUGCGCUUCAAAAUACGGGAAAAUCUGAUCUAGAAGAAGAGUCAUUAAGCGAGCACCUUCUGACCGAGGCUGCCGAAGCUGGAAGAAAUCAAGAAUCCGUUUAUGAUGUUGGAUCCACUAAUAAUAGGAAAAGUUUAAAGAUACUAAAACUUUUCUUCCUUGCUAAUUAAUUUUGAAAACAUUCUCUUUUGAUAUUUGAAAAAUGGUCGAAUAUCCAUUUUCCAGUUUGGAUUUGGAUAGAGUGAGGUAAGAAUAUCAAAGUUUUGCAUACAAUUGGGCUCCAAUUUCUUAGUUUAAAACAUUUCAUUAACUGAACGACAAAUCAUUUAGAUAUCAAAGUUACGAGAAUGUUGUUUUCCUAAUUUAUUUUAUUUAAUUUUUUAGUAAACUUCACUAUUCUAUUCCUCUAUAUCACAGAUAAAUAAUUUACUCAGUAAGUGUAAAAAACCCAAAAUUCAGGUAAUUCGGUUUCAUUAAAGCAAUUGGGUCUUUUAAAACCAACACUUGUUGUUUCCUAUUUAUUGUUAACUUGGUGAACUAUAGAGAGUUUCGGUAUCUUAAAUAUUUAAAUGCAGAGUGAACUUGAAUGAUUAUGACGUUGAAUCACUACAAGAAAAAUACUAUAUGACAACAGGCAAAGCUUGUUGUGGAAGGGGUUUCACGACGAGCACAUGCGUGUUGCGGUUCUUGCUAUAGCGAAAAGUAUGUAACUUUCAACUACGCGCAAUUCACGUUGUUGAAAAAGAUAUGAAUGUUGUUAAAUGUCUUAUGACAACUUGUAGUGAUUGUGGUUAAAAAGGUCAUGUGCAUCUAAAUUUUUGACUACAAGCUUGUGAAUGUUGUGAUAAACUAUAUAGCAACAAGCAACUAAUUGUCGCCAUUAAUUUCAAUUUUUUUUUACAAUAAACAACAUAUCUUGCAUGUUGCCAAUAAUAAUAAUAAUAAUAAUAAAUAAUAAUAAUAAUAAUAAUAAUAAUAAUAAUAAUAAUAAUAAUAAUAAUAAUAAUAAUAAUAAUAAUAAUAAUAAUAAUAAUAAUAAUAAUAAUAAUAAUAAUAAUAAUAAUAAUAAUAUUAUUAUUAUUAUUAUUAUUAUUAUUAUUAUUAUUAUUAUUAUUAUUAUUAUUAUUAUUAUUAUUAUUAUAUUAUUAUUAUUAUUAUUAUUAUUAUUAUUAUUAUUAUUAUUAUUAUUAUUAUUAUUAUUAUUAUUAUUUAUUAUUAUUAUUAUUAUUAUUAUUAUUAUAUUAUUAUUAUUAUUAUUAUUAUUAUUAUUAUUAUUAUUAUUAUUAUUAUUAUUAUUAUAUUAUUAUUAUUAUUAUUAUUAUUAUAUUAUUAUUAUUAUUAUUAUUAUUAUUAUUAUUAUUAUUUAUUAUUAUUAUUAUUAUUAUUAUUAUUAUUAUUAUUAUUAUUAUUAUUAUUAUUAUUAUUUAUUAUUAUAUUAUUAUUAUUAUUAUUAUUAUUAUUAUUAUUAUUAUUAUAUUAUUAUUAUUAUUAUUAUUAUUAUUAUUAUUAUUAUUAUUAUUAUUAUUAUUAUUAUUAUUAUUAUUAUUAUUAUUAUUAUUAUUAUUAUUAUUAUUAUUAUUAUUAUAUUAUUAUUAUUAUUAUUAUUAUUAUAUUAUUAUUAUUAUAUUAUUAUUAUUAUUAUUAUUUAUUAUUAUUAUUAUUAUUAUUAUUAUUAUUAUUUUUUUUUUUUUUUUUUUUUUUUUUUUUUUUUUUUUUUUUUUUAUUAUUAUUAUUAUUAUUAUUAUUAUUAUUUAUUAUUAUUAUUAUUAUUAUUAUUAUUAUUUAUUAUUAUUAUUAUUAUUAUUAUUAUUAUUACUACUUAUUACUUACUUACUUACUUACUUACUUACUUACUACAACUACUACUACACUGCUGCCACCAUAUAUAAAAUGUAUAUGAACUAAUUCAAAUAUUCGGCUUAUUCUAAUAAGUUUUGAUAAACAUAGCAAUGACCACACAUCCCCGCUAAAAGUCACACAAAUAUUUUAGUAUUCAUACAAUUGAUCCAUAGAAAUGUCCAACAUCAGUAUAAUUUCCAUCUAGCAAAACACCUAAAAAAAAUAAUUACAACACAUCAGUGGCAGUUGUAAUUCCAUAAAUAUCAAAUUCAAAAAAUAAUCUCCAACAAAAGCUUCUUCAGCUUGCAAUUCCAGCAAAAACUUCCUCAAGGCAUACAUACACGCCAACAAAAACAUCUUCUUCAAGGCAUAAACUCCUACAAAAAGGUUAACUAAAUCAAAUUUUAUUUGCUGCAUUUGAAAAAUAACUAUAUAUACAUACCAAAGAGAAUAUUUGUAUGCCUACAUACCUUCUUUAAAACAAUUUAAUGCAACUUUUUGGCCAAGCAACAGUGCUUCCUAAAGCCUCAACUAUUAUAUGAGCUUCAUCUGUCACUUUAUAUAAAGUCACUUCAUCCAUACCAUCGGAUAUUGAUUCCACCCAAACUUUCCAACAAUCUCUUCCAAGAGGCAUGUGGUGAACUUUUGCCUUAGGGUCUGUUGAGGCAAUCGUUCCUUCAGCCACAAUUUCAUCAACAUCAUCUGAAUACCAAUUCAAUAAAUAACAUCUUGCAUUUUCAUAGUGGCUAUUUUCUUGCAUUGUACCGCUUCCUUGUUGUGACUAUAAGCAAGACGAAUAUGGAUUUACAACUUAUAGGAGUAAGAAAUAAAAGUUGGUUUAACCAGUACUUUUUUUUUUCUUUUCAAUGAAGCAUUCUUAAUAAGUCUAAAAAAAGAUAAAAAAGCAUUACCUGAGGAGUACAAGCUUGAGAAGUUAUAAUAUUAUCAAAACCUUUGCUUGGAUUCUGUAAAUGAUUAGAAUUCUCUUAAGUCUUAGAAUGGAUUUCAAAUAACUAGUUACAUGUAUAUAUGCAUUAUCAUAUAGUCAUUUACCUGUUGGCAUUGUUUUAAAAGCGCAGCUGUCAAAUGCUCAUAAUUCUUUUCAAGGACAGACAUUCUUUCAGAUUGAGCUUGCAGUUGGUUUUGAAGCUCUUUUACUUUUCCAGUAGAUCGAAUAUGUGCUUCUAAUUGAGUGGGAGUGGCUCUGAACCCCAGUCCUCGAACUUGUCCACGCUUUUCAGGUCCAAAUACUUUUGCAAUAGCAUCAUUACGUAUGUUGUUAGACCUUGCAUUAUCUUUUGAAUGAUGACACUCUCUAACUUUUUCCUAGAAGAAGGCAAAAUAACAUUAUUAAUAACAUACAUAUGAAUAGUUAUAACAGGAAUACUUUGUAUAGAUAUCUCCUACCAAUGCUUUAGAAGCUGCUUCAUUAACAGGUUAACCAUUCUUUUUAAGAUGGCCUUCGAUCCAAACAUCAACUCUAGUGAUUUCAGAUGGAUUUGAACUCUUUUUUUUUUCUACAAUUAAGAAAAAUAUGUAAUUUAAAGUAAAUCAAAUAAGUGUCAAAAAAUAAUCGAAUUAAAUAAAUUCAUACCAUGGUAUGCUCCUUCCUAGCAUAACCUAGUCGGCCCAUUGAAUGAACCACUUCCUGAUUAUUUCUCAUUUCUUUAAACUUCUUGCUUAUUGCCUAUCAAUCAAACAUUGAAAUGUAUAAUUUUAAUAGAUAUGAAACUUAAUUUGAAUACCAUUAUUGCAAUGCAAUGGACUAACUUACUUUAAAUUCUGGAGACAACCUUUCCUUGACAAAUUUAGCCCAAUCUUCUUUGGAAGUUAUAUUUUUUGGCUUGAUAAGAGCAAGUACACGUGCUUUAUUAUGUUCUUUGUUGGCUUGCUUGAUCUUAGUUGUUAGCUCUGAUUUGAAUCGUCUCCAGCAAUCACCCAUCAUUCUUAAAGCCAAGUGUUUACGAGACUUAUCCACAACGAAUUUUUCUUGUAUAACUUAUAAGAAAAAUGCAAACCAAUAGCUGAUAUAAUAAAUCUCAAGAUAACUGAUAUAAUAAAUCUCAAGAUAAAUGUUGUAUUUGUUAAUAAAGAUAAUUAUUGCAUAAUAUCAUAUACCUGAACUAAUGACCAAAGAUCUUCUUUUAGCUUGUGGUCAACCGAAAGCCUAUUUUUCAUACAAACAGGCACAUGUUCUCGUGUUAUAACUCUAAUAAAAGAUGCAUAUUUAUCAUAAUUUACACCUACUGCCUGGCCACAUUCGUUAAACUCAAUGCUCAAUGGUGGAGAUCGAUCUUGAAUCAUUCCAAGUUGGGUUGGACCUCUUUUCUUUUUUGUGCCUUUGUCAUCAGAUUGAGAUAUGUGCGCAUUUUCUCUAUUGCUAGUUGCUAAUGGUCCAUUCUCCCCUUGAAUAGUUGCAUUUUCUCCAAAUUUAUCUCGACUUCUUUUCUCACCUUGCCUAGAAGACUUUAUACAUAGCAUAAUUUAUGUAGGAAUAAACAAAAAUAAAAUAAGUAUAUGAAGAUAAAAAAUUAUAAUUCAUUGUUGAACCAAAAAAAAAAAAAAUUACUUACUUCAACAUUGUCCAUCUCUUUUACCCCCCUGCACAAUUGUUAAAUGCUGAACAAAAUGUUUAUAUUAUUAUGACAAGAGAUUAAUGCCAAUGAUCACGGAGACAUAAACAGAAAUAAACAUAUAAAAUAAUCACGGAGAAAUAAGUACAUUAACAUAAUCGUGUAAUUUAAGGAACCAAUUAAUAGAUUCAUGAAAACAAAUAACUAUAACAAUAAACUAUAAUUCAAGAAUACAUAAAUAAUUAAUAUACUAAACUAGUCAUCACACACUAUAUCCUCAACUCCCCUUCUAAGAGGUUCGUCCUCAUUAUCAUUUUCAGUUUCAUGCCCACUUAUGUCAAUUGGUAGGCAUAUACUGUAAUUACUCUCACUAUCCAAUAAUAAAUCUUGGAACCCUCUUUGUGGUGCUUUCAAUACUACAUACCGAUUAGAUUUUUCAAUAUCCUCAUAAUAAAAUACUUGUUUAGCUUGUGAAGCUAAAAUGAAUGGAUCAUUUCCAAAUUGGCUUUGUCCUUCGUGAAGGUUAACUAAAGUGAAUCCUUCAUCGACUUUAACACCAUUAAUUAUAUUAGCCCAAUCACAUUUGAAAAUGGGGACCUGAAAAGUAUUGUAGUCAAGCACUAAUAUAUCUAAUUUGAUUUUUAUUGUUAUUUUAUUUUUUAUUUUUAUUGCAUUAUUGUUAUUUUAAUUUGAUUUUUAUUUUUGUCAACAAAACCCCCAUUUUAUGUUUUACGUUUUAAAAGGAUUUAAAUAAUUACCGAUCUCUGUGGACACGACCCUAUUCAAUUACUAUACACAAUUUAUUUAGAGUAUGUAUUUAUUUUUGUUGGCUUCGACAACCACCAGCUGCCUUUGGUUUGACGAAAAGGGAGAAAGAAAGUUACUUUUGGUUUGUAAAGAAGGGUAAUUUGAGAAGAAAAACGUGUAUUUAGCUAAUGUUGAUAAAAAAAAGUUGAGAGGGUUAAUUUUGAAAAUAAUAAAAAUUUUAUGGUUAUUUUUAUAAAUUUCUCGAUUAUCUUAAGGUCGAUUGUGUACAUAAUUACUCCGAUUGAGAAUGUAUAAAUGGUCACAUUGGUCUUGGGGGCACAUUGGUCGUUUGUAUAUAGAUAAUGUAAAGACAAGGUGUUGUAUGAUAUUAACCAAAUGAAUUCUUGUAAUUGAAUUCUAAUUCCGUUAAUUGGAAAUUGUACUACUACAAACGGAGGCCACCCAUCUAUUUAUAACCGAAUCAAGUGGUGUGUGAUGAGUGUGCAGUUGGUGGGAAGCUCAUGCACGUGAUCGGCGUGUGAUGUAGCUUGUAGCAUAAUAUGUGAUUUUUAUCAUUUUGUUACUUAUAAUUAUUGCAGGUGCGGAUAUUUUAAAUUAUUGAAAAAUUAUUUUAUAAUACUAUAAAAAACCUUUUACAACAUUAUAAAGUUUCGAAUCUAAAUUUUAAAAAAUGUGGGUGCCCUUACUAAAAAAGGACUCUAGCUACUUAACAAACCAAUCUCUUGCUUAUGCUUCUGUUCCAAUAGUACCAAGCGAUGUGAGCACUAUGUGCAGAUCAAAUUUGCCCAUCACAAGUGGUAGCAUUGAUCUGGGUGAUUUUGGUGGAUACCCGCAUAUAUAUCACAACACAUUGCUAUCUAUUAUUUGAAUAUUUUGCGCACUGUACCAAGUAGGCCAGGGAGAAUUCUGAAAUGCGAGUAAAUUUCAGUUUUGGCAGAAAUAAUUUGGGAAGCAAUCACUCUCGUUUUGAUGAUCAAGAGCAAUUCAAAGAGCUAGCCUACGAGCAGCUAGAACUCUCGUAGCAUUUUUGUUUUGCAACUAAUUUUAAUACUUCUUAAUUUCAACUUACUCCUUACAUUUUUCUAUUCUUUGUUGAACAAAAACAAGAUAUUAAUUUGUUGAUCUCAUGAUUACCUGAAAAUAUAUUUACAUGGACCAAUACCUUAUACUGAAAUGCUUUUUCGAAAAAAAAUUGAUAUAUGAAUUAAAAUCUAAUAAUUAAACAAAAUUAUUAUCUUAAAAAACAUGAACAUGAAAAUGCGUAAAAUAAUUUUUUUAAUAAAAAUUAAUUAAUUGUUUCAUCUAGUUAUUUAAAAAAUCCUCUUUUUUUUUUUUUGUCAACUUUAGGCCUAAAUCACUAUAUAUAUAUAUAUAUAUAUAGUGAUGAAAAAAUGCUCUACAAAUUUGGAGCCUCAUGGCCCCUACCUUAAAUGGAGUGAAUUCUGAAUAAUUUUUAUAGAACAGAGUAAGAAAAAAUAAUCCUCAAAUACUUAAUGAGGUGAAAUUUGGUUCUGUACUCCCCACCUCAAUCCCCAUUAUAUAUGAAUUUGUUUUACAUUUUUUUCAAUAAUUUUUGUUUUAUCACUUAAAAUGUUGGUUAAUAAAUUUUCUUUUUAUUUAAUCUAAUAAAAAUAGGUUACAACUAGAAGAAAAUCAUAUAUUAUAAUUCUUAUUUAAUUCUAAAAUAUUGUUAUAUUUUAUUUUUUUCUCAAGGUACUGCUCUAUUCAAAUAUUUUUUAAUUUAAUAUUAUUUCAAAAUAUUGCUUAGAUUUUUUAGAGAUUUUUUAAUAAUUUAAAUAUUUUAUAAUGUGCUAAUAAUUUAUUUAAAUUUUUAAUUUUUAAUUUAUUAAAAUAAUUUAUCUAUAUUUAUUAUAAAAUAAAUAAAUAAAUAAAUAAAUAAAAUAGAGAAAAUAAAUCAUUCCCCACAGAAAUUUUUCAUCCCCACUCCCAAACAAAAUUUUAAUAGGCUAAGUCUCCCCAUCCUACCCCACCCCAUUGCCUAUAUAUAUAUACACAGUGGUUCUUUCACGCGGACACCCGUAACUUCAAAAAUAUGUGAGCACUCACGUUUCGCCCGUUGGAUCCUGUCAACGGCUGAAUUAAGUUGUAAAGUAAAGACAACUACUGACAUUUUUUGUCUGUUAGCCCGGUCUUCAAAACUUUAAAAAAAUCAUUUCUUUUUUUUUCAAUGGGACCAGCUAAAAACCACUCAAUAUAAAAAUACAAUAUAUUAUAUAUAUAUAUAUUUUUUAUAAGUACAAUAUACUAUAUUAUUAUUAUUAUUAUUUUUCUCUUCUCCCACUUCCAUCUCCCCACACCCAAGACCCAACGAGAUUUGGCAGUACUCUCACUCACGCACAGAUGAAAAUUGAAUGUAGAUUUUUUAAAUUCCUUUCCUUUUUCUUUUGCCCCCAAAACUAACUUUCUCAAAGGUCAAUAAACAGUCAUCAUCAUCACCAUUUUUGCUUCUCCAUCUUUCCAUCAUCAAAAUUAUCCUUCCAAUCCAAGAAGAUGAAGCAAAAGAAGGAAAACACACUUCGGUAAGUUACCCAAUUAAAAAAAAAGACUUAACGACCCAUCUAAAUAAUCAAGCUUAAAGGUAUCUCUGACAGAAGAUUUUCUCCAAAAAAAAAAAAAAAAAACAAAACUAGCGGAAAUUGAAGAAGAAAAAACACAGGCCAGGACAUUCUUAAGAAACUUGAAAGUUCGUGAAAGAAGAGCAAAAUGAGGCAUUUAAGCCACAGCUGAGGAAAAUUAGAAGAGUAACAUGUUGGACACGUCAUCUCCGGCCACGUUGCCGUUGAUGAUGAAGAUGAUCCAACGAUUUGGCUUCUUGGGUGUGGGGAGAUGGAGUUGGGAGAAGAGAGAGAAAUUUAAAACUAGUAUAUUGUGUUUUUGGACCUGGCUAUGGUACAGAUUCUGUACCUAACAUCUCUCGUCAUCCCACCGUCCCAUUUUCUAUGGUUUAAUUUCUCACUCCACAUCCAACGGCUGAUGCUGCAGUUGUAGCUUACAGAUUCUGUAAGCUAGUCGAGUCAGCCACUCGGCCUUUGGCCGAGUGGUGAGAGCUGCUGCUCUCCAACUUGGAGAGCAGCAGUUCGAACCCCCACAAUACAUUGUGGGGUCUUCCUUCCUUAAGUAAAUUUGAGUGAAGGCAGUCUGUUUCCUUACUCAAGUGUGAGGAGUAGACAUCCCUCGAAUAUUUGAGAGGGUUAAAAUAUGGGCAGCGCUCCAUUAGUAUUGAUGUAUGUUGGUCCCAGUUAUAGUCUGAUUUGUAAAUAUCAGUUAUAUUCUCAUAUAAUAUUAGUUGUAAUUUGAGCAAUAGUCUCAUAUAAUCAAAAAAAAAAAAAAAAGCUAGUCGAGUCCUGUGUUUUUAUAUUCACGUGGUCCCCAUUAAAUAAAAGAUAAUUUUUUUCCAAAGUUUUGAAGACGGGCCCACACGCAGAAAAUGCCAGGAAUGACCUUUACAUCACGACUUAAUUCAACCGUUGAUGGGAUCUAACGGUCGAAAAGUAAGUGUCCACAUAUUUUUGAAGUUGCGGGUGUCCUCGUGAGAGAAUCACUGUAUAUUGCCAAUUUAACCUAAUGUGGCGUGCAGUAUUGUCCAUGAUUCGUCGAUUUCUUACUAAAUAAUUUUCAAACACGACUUGACUUAAAGACUUCUUAAGCCUCUUUGAGUCUCUCUUCUCUGGCCUUCAAGAUUAGUAAUUUUCAUGAGAACUCGUAUAUAUUCUCUGGAUUUUAUUUUAUUUUCCAAGCAAAACAAGAAUGGCUAAUUGAUUUGACAUAAGUUUAACUCACAAUAAGUAAUUUCAUAAAAUUAGAAAUAAAUUAUAUUUUUUGUAAUAAUUUUCAAGCACAACUGUUUUAAGCUUUAACGUAAGUUUAAUUCACAAUUGGUAAUUUCAUGAAAUUAGAAAUAAAUUAUAUUUUUUGUAAUAAUCUAAUCCUCUUAAGUCUCAUCACUCACGUAAGUGAGAUCAAACCUUUAAUUUGGAUCUCCACAAAAUUUUACCAGUUAAGUAGUAGCACUCACUCCCAAUUAUAAAUAUUCAAUAAAUGUUUUGAUUGUAUUAAUGAAACUUAUGGUUAUAUACACACACACAUAGACACACGAACACCCAUAUAAAUUGUAUAUUGCAAUGACUAUGCAUCAAGCUAUGAUGUAAUCUCAUGUAAAGUUGCCAGAAACAUUAAUAAUUAAAACACAUCAAGCUCAAUAAAUGAAGACUUCAAUUUUAUUUGAUAUUGAGGUGUUAUAACUUUUAAUCUAUAGUUGAUAUAAAAAAAUUGUAACUAUAAUAUAAUAUUAUUUGGUAAAUAUGAUUUAUAAUAAGAUUUUUCACAAAGCUAAUGGAGGUGUUAAUAUAAGUUUUUCUUCAAAUAAAUAUAAGAUUAAUUCAAUUUGAGUUAAAAGCCACAACUAUAAGUGUUUAUCAAAUAUUUUACUGUGGUAACAUUAAAGCCACUCAAUUGCCUCAAAACAGUAUCAACCAGGCUUUUCAUUUUACCACUACCUAUUGUAGUGCUUUAAUCCACAAUUACUAUGACAUGAAAGCUUUCACAAUGAAAUUAUGGUUUACAGUGUUUGGUAAAUACGACAUAAAUAAAAAUUUUAUAAAAACUAGUAAGUAAUAUGAUUUUUCUUUAUACGACUAUGAGAUAAAAUUAUCUCAACUCUCUCUUAAACUAUAAUUAUAACUAUUUACCAAAUGCUUUAAAGUUGUACUUUGAAAAUAACAAUAUCAUUAUAAGAAAAUAGAAUAUAUUUGAUAGCCUAAAAUUGUCAAAUAAGUUAAUAUUUGACAAUCAAAAAGUGUAAGACAUUCCGGUGUCAAAUAUCCUCACAUUUAUUAAAACAGCUAAUUUACCUUUGUAAUUUAAAACCACCAAAGGUUAAUGACAAUAGAAAAUUGUCAAAUAUGUAUGAAAGUUAAUAAAUGUGAGUUGCUCAAACUUGACAAUUACUUAUGACUACUAAAAAUGAUCAAAUAUCUUUUUUUUUUAAGCUACAAAAAUGGUGCCCCUGAUUUGGCAUGUACAAAAGAUAUAUCACAGAAACAGAACGAAUCUCAAAAUUUUCAACUCGAUACAACACAAAAUACGAGCAAACAAAACUGAAAUUUUUGACAUGAAGUUAUACUCUAAAUGUUUGAAACUAUUCAUUAUCUAAAUUCAGUCUUAAACUUAAAAUUAAAUCAGUACCCAUCAAUAAUUUUCAACACCAAAAAGUAAAUUCAACUCCAGCAUUCAUCUAAUACAAGUCAUCCUGUAACUAUUUGUUGUGAGUGCUCUUUGAUUCCAGCUGACGAAGCUUCAGUGGUCCACUGCAAUCCUUAUUAGCCAUUCUCAAGAAAUUAGCUCAAAACAAAUCAAAAUAAUUAUCAGAUUUCAAAUUAAGGUAGCUAAGGGUGAAGAAAAAGGCUGGAAGAAUAUAAGAAUGAAGAUCCUCAUAGCUUCAGUGCAGCUAGAUGCUGAUAUUUUGUGGUUUUGACCAUCUUAAGCAUGUUUGACUUUUUGGGAAUCUUAAAAUGGAUUAAUAAGAAAGCUAAUUGUGAUCUGCUAUUUGAAUAUUUUCCGCACACAGCUUCCACCUGUGCCAGGGAGAAAACUGAAAUGCUGUCACCUAAGAAAUUUCUACUGGUGGAAGCAUUGUGAAUUUCAGUUUUACCAGAAAAGCAAUAACUGUGCCUCUGCUAAGCCACUCAACAAGCUUGCACGCAGUGUUUUCCAACUCAAAACUCAAGCUAGUGUUUCGUUUUCUUAUUUACUUAUUUUUAAUUCCUUUUUUAUUGAGCGAAAAGAGUACCACUGAUUUUGCACAUAAAAUUAUAUAUAAAAUUUGUACAAGAUCAGCAAUUGCAAGAUACUAAAAGAUAAAUUUAUUCACGCUAUUAAUUUUAUCUUUAUAAAAUUCUACGUGCCGCCGAUAAGACAUCCUUAAAUCAAAGGAUGUUCUUCCAAAAUUGGCUGUCGAGUGUCACCACCACCCACCUCUACGACACAUUCCACAUUCUAUUUGUCAUGUGUAAUAAAACGAACUUUUUUCUACAGUUACAUGAAAGAUAAGGAGAAGGAGGAUUCUUUUGUUUUUUCCUCCAAGCCAAAAGCAUGGUGCAAAAGUUAGCAGUACGACAAGUCAACACUGUCUUUACUCGGAAAUAUCCAAUAAUCCAGUGUUGAGCUAAAAAAGAUGAAUAAAUAGAAGGCUGUUUGUUGUGUACAAAACAGUAAACACAGAAGAAAGAGAGAACGGAAAGAGAGAAAAGAAAAUUUCUGAGCAGCACAACGAGAAAACAAAUGAGCGAGUUAUUGACUUCGGAGGACUUCGACGAUGCUCAGAAAAUUAGGUCGGAGAAAGCCUUGACAAGAUGGAGAUCUGCCUGCAAUGGCCUCAAGAACCGCCGUAGAGUCUUACGUAAGCUCGACGAUCUCGACGAGCAUCUCGAAUUACAAGUUGGUUCUUCCUUUUAUUUAUUUAUUUUUUAAUUAUUAGUUAACUUAUGGUUAAAGUUAAUUUGGGUUUAGCUUUAUUUAUUUAUUUUUUAAUUCUAACUUACUUGGGUCUUUGCCUAAUUUCACUGAGGCUAAUGCCUAAUGGGAAAUUUUUAAAAUUAACACUCAAGAAUUUAAAUGCAGAGUGAAGUGUAAAGAUGAAUAGUACAAAAUGAUCAAGAAAUUGAAUUGAAGAUACCGAACUAAAGGCUUUCUGUGGUUACAGGAACUAUUUAGAGCUGCAUCUGUUGCUGUGAAAGCUGAACUUCACUUUACUGAAAGUCUGGGUCUGCCUUCAAAUGAAGAUGUGACUGAGGCUAGAAGAUUUCAUGAAACAAUUGAAGGUGUUGGAUCCACCGUCAGUGGCCAUGGUGUAACGGUAUUUGAUACGAUUGUUCCCCAAUUCAAUUUUCAAGCAUCAAAUUAUGCUUCUUUGAUGUCUGUUAUUGUCUCAUAUAUCAAGGUAAGAAUAUCAAAGUUUUGCCUACAAUUGGUUUUCACUUAAUGAAUGACAAUACAAUUUCAUUGAUUGAAAUGUAUAAUUGCAUUCUUUGUCUAUAACAGAUUUGUGCGCUACUUGGUAAAUAUAAGAAACGUGCACUUGCUGUGUUUUAUGUUGUGUUGGAAGCAGCAUCAUUCUUACUGGACAUAUUUGGGAAAAGUAAGAGGAGCAUCCUUCUUGCUGCAUUUCUAUUGUCAGCAUCUGGUUUUGCUAUUACUAUGAGCAUGCCUACUUGUAUCGCGGGAAGAAUCAGAGCUGCAGCCAGAACAAAUAUUUAAAAGCUGCUACUUGUGGUGUUGGAAAUUUCUUUCUCUGUGGUCCAGUUGUUUGUUACGUUCAUGUACUUUAUUCUGGCGGAAUUGGGUGUCAAGAACAAGUUUAAUGCAUCUGUUUUCCCACUAGUCUUUGCUGUAAUUGCUGCUGCGUUUACUUUCAAAUAUGAUGGAGAAGUUUCUGAUUCAUCAGGCCUUGCCAGCAGGCAUAUAUCCCCAGCUGCUGAUAAUCAGGUAUGGUUGUGAACAUAAUUGUAAUCAUCAAGCUGCACUUGGUUAAUUCGCACACUUGUCACCUCUAUGACUAUGAAUUCCUACAAAUAUAAAGAAAACUACAUGAGACGGUAAGCUUUUGCAAUAUUGUCGAAAGAAGGAAAUAUAAAGAUUGUUUGACGGCAUUGUGUUAGUUAAUAAUUUAGUCAUAUGAGGUCUCUAAAAGAUUGCUUUAUUAAUUUGUCUGUAUAAUCCUAGGGUGCCUCUGUAGAUUUAGAAAUCCUUUAUGAAUGGCCAAAUGAGUACAGAUACCAAAUCUUUGAUAAUUUGUGUCUUUUUAGGUUCAUAUGCCAAAUAAUACUCGCAAUGAGAAUGCAGAAGCAAACGGCAGCAUGCCUAUGCCGGUGAUAGCGACCUCUCAUGACUGAUGAAGAUGAUUCUAAGAAACGAGGUAUGUAUGUUUGUUCUUCACUCUGCCUUCAGGCUUGCUCUCUCUCAUACUAUUUACAUAAAUUCUCUUUUUAAGUUUUACUACCGAAAAAUUUAUAUAUUGUUAAUAGAUGGGUUUGUUUGUAAUGUUUCCAGACCUUAUUUUAGGAGUCUGACAAUUUGAUUAUUGUUUCAAACUUAGAGUCUAGACGAGGCAUUUGCCCCCAUUUGCUCAUUUGAUUCAGAUUCAAGUUGACUAUAAUUAAAGCACAUUGGGUCCAAGUUUUGGCCAUAAGUGUUACAAUUAAUUUCAAUUACUAUGUAGUCCAGUGGGAUGAAUAUCUAUAAUUUGGAUUAUAACCACCCAAUAUAUAUUAUUAUAUAUGAAUAACUUUUUAUUUAUAGAGCACGUUGAGGGGUUAAAUGAUGGUGUUAAGUUUUUGUGAUUCCUGAAAUUCUUGAUACUUGUAUUAUGCCAAUAAGAAUAAAUGAAACUGUUUUGAUUGGGUCACACAUAGAAACUUUGAUGUGCCAAUUAAUUAUUGAUCGGCAUGGUUAAUUGUUUUUGUAACGGUACACUAUCGUGAUAUGAAUUUUUUUUAAAAUGAUUUUAUUAUUAUCAUUAUUUUUACUAUUAUUUAACACAACUGCAACUAAAUUUUCUCCAUAUUUUAUGUGCAGGGUUUCAGCUCCAGAACUAUCGUUUUCCACUUCAAAAUUUUACCAACAAAUUAGAUUAGCGGCCCCCCCUAUGUAGAGAUUUAUAUAACUUACAUAUUUCUGCAGUUAUCAAAUUCAUGAUUCUAUUAUUUUUCUUGGAAAUUAUCCUUCAAAAUAACUGUGUUCCAUAUAUUUUCCCAGAUAGCUUUAUAGUCAUUUGAUCAGAAUAGUACAUAAAGAUCAUAAGCUAGAUAUUUAUAUGUAAUCAAGAUUAUCUUAAGGUCAAUUAUGUAUAUAAUUACUUCGAUUGAGAAUGUAUAAAUGGUCGCAUUGGUCUUGCGUGCACUUAAUUUGGAGGGAAUUAAAAUUUUGUAUGUAAUCAUGAUCCUAAUGAACUCGCUAUGGGUUUCAUUGAAUAGUGAACUGUUAAUCCACAUCUACUUUAUGACUGGAUCCAGCCAGAAGCAGUAUUUGACUCCAGGUUUAUGGAUCAACAAUGAACUGAAAUUAUCAAUCCAGACACAGAAUUCGUAUCUCUGCCCAAACCAAUAAUACCUCCUAUGCAUACAUCCAUGCAAUAGUAAGACAACUCUGUUUAAGGCACAUAGCCAAAUCUACAAUGACAACUCAAGAUACAUUAGUAUUAAGAUAUAGUUAUGUAAAAUAAUUGGUCAUUAAUAGAUUAAUCAUAAUUGACAUUGUGAGAUCAUGCCAAAAUAUUUAGGGGACCUUUUAAUCAAAGGCCUUGCAAGAGAUGAGAUUUCCAGUAUCAACUUAUCACCAGUGACUGUGCCUCAGCCCAAGGCUUAGAAACAUCAAGAUCUUGGAUUAAUGAGUAUAAGCGUAUCAAAUAGUUGUGACUGCAAGCAUUAUAGUUAUUUAUGUGCUUCAAAGAAAAAUAUAAAAAUAAUUAAAUUAUAACAAUAUACUCUCAUUUGAAGAUAUAUGACACAAAUUUCUUACAAGCUCAUACAAGUCGAGAUCACAAGAAGGUUUUAUUUUCUCAUUAAAUUGAUCAUAAAGGUUCCUUUUAUUUUGAAAAUGGUUGCACAUGUAUAUUUUAAAAGAUUAAAAAAAAAAAUAGUGACAUAGAUACCAUUUAAUGAACCAAAAUGAUUUGUAUGGAAAAAUAGAUGUCAAUGCGAAUUAUUACAACAACAAAAAGUGCAAUGUUAAAAGUCUUGGUAUCACGAAGACCUUUAAUUAAAGGCCUUGCAAGAGAUGGGACUUCCAGCAUCAAAUUAUCACCAGUGAUUGAGCCUCGGCCCAACACUUGGAAACAUCGAGAUCAGGUGGUGCGUGAUGAGUGUGCAGGUGGUGGGAAGCUCAUGCAAGUGAUCGGUGUGUGAUGUGGCUUGUACCAUCAUAUGUGAUUUUUAUCAUUUUGCUGCUUAUAAUUAUUGCAAGUGCGGAUGUUUAUAUUUUUUAAAAUGUAGAUUUGUGAAUUCUAAAUUUUAUAAUAUUAUAAAUUAUUGAAAAAUUAUUUUAUAAUACUAUAAAAAACUUUUUACAUCAUUAUAAAAUUUCGAAUCUAAAUUUUAAAAAAUGUGGACAUCUCCACCAAAGGACUGUUGAUACUUAACAAGCCAAUGUCUUGCUCAUGCUUCCGUUCCAAUAGUACCAAGCGGUGUGAGCACUCAAAUUGAUCUCACAAAAGGUGCAGCUCCAAUCAGCUUAUUCUGUUCUUUAUAUUGCUGCAAAAUCAGCUGGUUAUAAUAACCACUUUAACCACCAACGGGUCCCACUCCAGCUGACUCAGCUUGCCACCUCAUAACUCAACCAAAUAUAACUAACUGGCUUCCACAAUUAUUACCUUAAAAAACAUGAAGAAAAGGCAUAAAAUAAUUUUUUAAUAAAAAUUAAUUAAUUAUUUUAUCUAAUUGAGAUUAUUUAAAUUUUUUUUUUUUUUGGGUUAACUUUAGGCCUAAAUUUUUAAAAUAUUAUGGCCAAUUUAACUUAUUGCAGUGUGCAAUAUUGCCCAUGAUUCGACGACUUCUUAGCUAAAUAAUCUUCAAACAUGACUUGACUUAAAGACUUCUGAAGCCUCUUGAGUCUCUCUUCCCUAGCCUUUAAGAUUAGUGAUUUUCAUGAAAACUCGUAUAUAUUUUCUGAAUUUUAUUUUAUUUUUCAAGCAAAACAACAAUGGGUAGGUAGGUCAUUUACUUGACAUUGGUUUUACGAAGAGGGAGACUGUUUUAGUCUUUAACAUAAAUUUAAUUCACAAUUAGUAAUUUUAUGAAAUUAAAAAAUAAAUUAUAUUUUUUUGUAAUAAUCUAAUACUCUCAAGUCUCAUCACUCAUGUGAGUGAGAUCAAAUCUUUAAUUUGGAUCGCUCCACAAAAGUUUACCAGUUAAGUAGUAGCACUCAGUCCCAAUUACAAAUAUUCAAUAAAUGUUUUGAUUGUAUUAAUGAAACUUAUGGUUUCUUAUUAUAUAUAUAUAUAUAUUGACUUGAUCAUCUCACCAAUAUUAACUUGAUAAAAAAUGGAGAAAGAUGACAAAUGUGAUCUCACGUAAAAUUGCUAGAAACGAUGAUAAUUAAAACACAUCAAACUCAAUUAAUAGUUAAUCAAAACUUUAGUUUUCGACACCGAAAAGUAAAGUCAGCACCAGCAUUCCUGUAAUACAAGUGAGCCUGUAGCCGUUUGUUGUGAGUGCUCUUUGAUUCUAGCUGAUGAAGCUUCAGUGAUCCACUGCACUCUUUAUUAGCCAUUCUUAAGCAGUCACCUCAAAACAAUCAAAAUAAUUAUCAGAUUUCAAAUUAAGGUAGCUAAGGGUGAUGAAAAAGGCUGGAAAAAUGAAGUCCUCGUAGAUAUUGUCCAGCAAAUUAUGUCCAAGAAGUUCUCUUUCAAUGGUUAAGGUAUUUGUCUCGUAUUCACAUUAAAAGAUAUAUAGCUAAGGUAUUUGUCUCAUAUUCACAUUAAAAUACAUAGCUAGGUAGCAACAUGUGGACAAUUCAUAUUCAUGGGUGUCAAGUCUUUUAAAGAUCCAGGAAGCUCAUAUUAUGAGUCAUAAAACUGCAAAAAGAUAUUAUAGCACCAACACAAAACUAGAUAUGCAAGAGAAUUUUUUAGAAUUCAUUAAUUUGUUGACUGACUGGCCCAUUGUCACACUAACCCAUAAUCUGAUCUUCCACCUUGUAAUUUGUUUGUUUUUUCAAAUGGACAGCCACAAUUUUCCUUAAUCAUCAAACCAACAAUUUUUUUUUUCUCCGAAUCAUAUAGUCACAAUAAAAAUUCAAUCUUUAAACUAUUGUUGCGAUCAUUAUAAUGUCUUUUAUUCGUUGUUGAUAGAUAGAAAGCAACUUAAAGAGAUCUAAAGACAUAACAAGAAAUUAUCCACGAUUGUAAAACCAUUGCUCCAAGUUAAAAGUCUUUAACUUUUUGUUGGUUUUUACUUUAAAAAUCAAAAUGGCUCACUCUAACUUUAAAAUUUUCAUUGCCAUGGCAUUGCUUUUCGUUUCUGAUGGCGCAAUCUCUAUCUUUGUCUCCAACGAAGACUCCACUAGAAGUAGUGCCAUCGCUAUUGAAGACUUAGUCAACCGCUUUGCCAUCUCCAUUGAGUGCUCCCCCUGUGACCACGACCUCUCCAGUGACUGUCAGUCCUCUGUUGUCACCUCCUCUGUUUUCGUCUUCUCCGGCACUAGUGAAUUCUCCAUCAUUGAUCUCAAUGCCUCCAUUUGAUGCUCCCUACUCCGUCUGAGAGCUCUGAUGUUUUGUAAAGAUUUGUCGUUUCUGGAUCUCUGGUUUUCGGGCUAUUCGCUGCCGUUUUGGUUAUGUAGAGUUCACCUAGUGAAAUAUCAAUUUAUUAUUGUAUUUGGACAAUUUUUUUCCUAUUAUUUAUUUACAUCAUUUGUACGUAUAGAAAUAAUUCUUUUAGUUUAUUUCUUACUAUAUUUUUUUAAAAAAAAUUAUCCACUAUAAAAAAAAAACCAAACAUAAAUUUCCAAAUUCAAAACCCUUGCCACUAUGAGUAUGACCACCACAAUCACUAUGAAAGCCACCCACAAAGCAAUUCAGCUAGUCGCCGCCAGUUGCAAAAUUGUCAACUUCUAUUGACUAAAAUACCACCACCUGCCGUCCUUAGCCACCACAGUCAAGAACCACCACACCAACAACCAAACCUACAAGCAAUUGACCUCAAAUCGACUUGUCCUCAAAUCGACCACUGGUCAAUAACCUUUAUCAACAAUUGAAACCAUCGAAUAGACUCACCAUAGAGUAAGAGUUAGAGAGGAGAAGAAGAAAUGAGAAAAGAAUACAUAUGAUACGUUUAUAAUUUUAUUAUUUUAAACAAAUUUAAGGGUAAUUUUAUUUUUUUAAUAUUUAAGAAUAAAUUGUUAAUAAAACUGAGUGUAAGGAGCUUAAUGAAAUUUUACAAUAACUAAGAAAGGAUGUUGAAAAUAAAAAAGAGUAAAAAAAGAGAGGGAAAAGUGGUAAAUUGAAUUUUGAAGAUGUAGGUAAGUAAAAAUAUUAUAAUACUUUUUACUAAAUUAUAAAUAAAAUAAACUUCAAGGGGCUCAAUAAAAUGUUAUAGUAAGUUAAGCCACGGAAAGUAUCAUAGUACUUUUUAAUAAAUAUAUAUUAAUAGAUUAAAAGGGGCUCAAUGAAAUUCCACAAUAACAAAGUCUGACAAAAGCUGUUGUAAGAUACAACUGUGGUAACAUGGUGGGAUCCUGAAAUUGGAUAUUCUUAUUUUAAUUAUGAUUUUGAAUUUUAAUUAGAUUAAAAUUAAAUUGCGUUGAACUACUAUAAAUAAGUGGUUUCUAUUAUAUUUUUGAGUAAAUAGUAAUAAAAUUUAGGAUAUGGUUAUGUCGGAGCAGAUUUACGGUGGAGCACGAAUUUCAGCCCCACAUGCAAAGUGAUAAAUAGUAAAAAAUUAAUUAUAACUUUGAUCGUGUAAUUAUAAAAUGGUGCUAUACUUUAAAACAACUCCAACAUAACCAAACUCUAAAAUUUAUUCUAAUUCCUAUUAAUUCUCCUCUCCCCCCUCUAAUUUCUAAAACUCUUUAUCUUUUCUCUUUUAAAUUUUCUAAUCAAAACCUUGUCAUCUACUAUUAGGGCAUAUUCUCCCAAGCAACCGAUUUUUCUUUUUUCCCUUCGACUAAAAAAAGAAAAAAUAAAUUUCCAGCAUCCCAAAUUUUUGCCAAUAUCCCUUCACUUUUAAUUUCGGUUUUUAUAAGUCAAUUAAUUGCUUUAAUCAAGUUAUACCACCAACUAAUUAUGACUUUUGUAAGUUCCACCGCAAGCCAUCAACCGAACCAAUCAUUAACCUUGACCAACUCCAAUGAUCACACCUAAACUAGCGCCAUCGUCAACCACCGGCUACCAUAACUCUGAAUUUUCUUGAUAAUCUUUUUUGCACAUCGUGAUCUUUACAGUGCUUGAAGAAAAAGUUACACAACUGACUCAAGUUAAUCUGUACUCCUAAGUCCUAACCUUUCAGAAUAGCACUCUAAAGGCACUUCUGCUAGACAAUCUUGAAUGAUUGGGCGAGUUGUGCAAGGCAACCCAAACAUUUAUCACCAUUUAGGCAUGUCGAGAGGCAUUCUACGGAGGUUUAUUUUAACUGUGAUUAGCAACCUAAGCCAGAGCAUAAUUGCAAACAACCUCAGCUAUUGCUUUUAUCAACUGAUGUCUCCAGUAAUCAUCAGCCCAAUACUUCAGUGAUUUCCAUUCUGCCAACACACUAUUUCGAUUGGAAGCCGUUUGAUGACUUUUUGAAUUGCGAACAAGCCUAAUUCAGGGGAUGUUAUCACCCUAGUAGCUUAUUUUAAUUUCCUUUCUACUAGGAUUAGGUUUUCUUAUUGCAAUUAUGAUUUAGGAUUCUAAUUAGAUUAGAAUUAAAGAUUGUGUUGAACUACUAUAAAUAGUAGUUCCCAUUAUAUUUUUGGGCAAGCAAUAAAAUUAAUUCUAAUUGCUAUUAAUUAUUCUCUCUCCCAUUUGAAUUCUUAGGGUGCAUUAGGUACUGUUUUCAAAUCCAUUUUUUAUUUUCUGAAUUCACAAAACACUAAAUAUGUGUUCGGUAGACUGUUUUUAAAAAUAUUUUUGAAAAUGGUAACAAUUUUCUAUUACCAUCUCACAAAAUAAUAACAUCAUCAUUAUUAUUAUUAUUACUACUACUACCAACCAAAAAAUCAAUUUCCCUCACAAUAAAUUUUUUUCAUAUACAUUAUGAUAUUGUAUAUAAUUAAAUCAAAUAUGUAGAGUUUAUCGUUUUUCUUUAAACAACAAAAUUAACAAGAUCACCUAAUUUAUUCAUAAAAUUAAAAUAAUCAAACUAAUUAAAUAAUAAAAAUGAUUAUUCAUUACUUUAUUUUUAUUUUAUGAAAAUUAUUCCAAUAAUAAUUCUUUAAAAUAUUUCUACCGAAUAUAUUUUACUUUUUUUUUUUUAUUUUUAGAUUAUUUUUGAAAAUAAUACCAAACACAUUUUUAAAUUUAAAAAUAACAUUUUCAUCCUCAUUUUUAUUUCAUGAAAACAAUAUUUGAAAAACAAUACUAAACAAGACCUUAAAUUUUUUAUCAAUUCAUAUUUUCUUUUUUGAAUUCUCUAAUAAAAAACCUUGAAUUUUUAGGCUGCGAUUGGCUCCACCCUUUAUAUUCUCACGGAAACCCAUGAGAAUAUACCCCCAAACGUAGGGAUGACAAUGGGGUGGGGUGGGGUGGGGGUAGAGAGGCUUACCCCAUUCCCCACCUCAUUCCCCAAUAAAUUUAGUGGGUUGGGGAUGGGGUAUCCCCACAUGGGGAAUGAUUUCCCCAUCCCCACCCCAUUCCUUAUUUACCUACUUUAUAGUAAAUAUAAAUAUAUGAUUUCAGUAAAUUAAAAAUUAAAAACUUAAAAUAAAAUCAUCACCAUAUUAUGAAGUAUUUAUUUUUUUUUAAAAAAUCUCUAAAAGUUUGAAACAAUAUCUUAAAAUGAUAUUAAAAGUGAAAAAUAUUUAAAGAGAGCAACACCUUAAAAGAGAAUAGAAAACAUAAUAAUGUUUUAGAAUUGAAAAAUAUUGUAAGAUUUUCUUCUAUUCAUAUUUUGUUUAUAUUACAUAAAAAUUAAAAAAAAUUAUUAAUUGACAUUAUAGUUGAUAAAAUAAAAAUUACUAAAUAAGAAUUAAAAACAUAUUUAUAUAUAAUGGAGAUUGGGAUUAGGGUGGGGUGGGGAGUACCAAACCCCACCCCGUUAACAAUUUGGGGAUUAUUUUUCCCCCACUCCCCACUCUAUUUCCCAAAAAUUAUUAAAAAAUUUUCUCAUUUGGGGUGGGGCUCCAAACUCGUGGAGGAUUUUGCCAUCCCUACCCAAACGCACUGUUAAACAGGCUGCACGACAGCCUCUCCCAAUUAAUAAAUAUUUAUUUUCUUUAACAAACACCCGCCACUAAUAAUUUAGCACGAUUCAACCUAAUAUUAAUACUUUCGCAAUUUCUCUUUGUAUCACACUUGUCUUCUUAUGCUGGUGUUCUUUUUUUUUAUUUAAAAAAUCUAUGUUCUUAUGAAAUGGAUGAUUGAAGGAAUUCACUUUCAUGAUUUGAGUGAAUGUUAUGGUUCAUGCCAACAGUCUUAGUCGUUAGACGACCUUGGUAUAUAUUGUUCUGUAAAUUAAUAGUGUAUGUGCGAUAGGAGUUUAGGCACGAAAUUUGAGCAGAAAAAAAUUAUAAAUAUUAUUAUCAUUCUCUCUUUGCAUAGUGAUCAACAUUGAUAUUUACGUAUGAAGUCUGCGUGAGUCCUUAAUGUUGGGGAUAAAAAUUACCACGGGUUGGAGUCCAUGUGACAAUAAGCAAGCCCAAUGCAGAUUGAACCAGGCCCAGUCCUUUAGCAAAACUACUCGUGAUUAAACACUUGAUGAAUGAGUAAAAGCCGACAGAAAGACUAUAAAAUGGCGAGAAAGCCAGCAAAGAAGCCGAGUAGACGGCCACUCAAACAACUUGGCCUUUGGCCGAGUGGCUGUGAGAGCAGCGGUUAGAGUUGAUAUGAAUUUCAAUUCUCCUUGAUUGAGUAGAGGAACUAAUUUGUAAUUUUUUUCCUUGUGCCAAAUAUUUAUUAUGAUUGUAUCUGAAAUAUCAUUUCUGAAAGAAAAAAAGGCCCACUCAAACAAGGCUUCUUCGAAGUGGCAGUGGCUCAACUCAUCGUCAAUCCAGCAAAACGGAAGCCAAUAUAACUCAAAGAAAGCCAAGAAGUGAAACGAAUCCAGCAAGCACACCAAUUCUACAUUACAAGCCUCAACAGCAACCCAGUACAAUUUCUGACAACACCAGAAUACUUUUGUAUGAUUACUUUUGGGACCAAUCCUUCCUGUUAAAAUUGGCGCAUUUUAUUACAUCAUAUGUUGUGACAGCGUAAUGAGCACUUCAACGAGCCUUCUUAAUCGUAACAUUUCUAUUAUUCAUCUGCUCAUUAACUGACAAUUACAGUAACAAGAUAAUCCAGAAACAAAAAUGGGAAUGGAGGAGAGUGUGCUGAAGCUGAAGCUUCCACUUACAAAAUCAUUCAAUCUGGAGACGGCUGUGUGCAGCCACGGCCUGUUCAUGAUGUCUCCGAAUCGCUGGGACCCUCUUUCUCGAUCCCUUUCUCGGCCUCUCCAUCUUUCUAAUUCUCUCGACAACACCAAUAUUCCCUCAGUCUCAGUCGCCGUCACCAUCUAUCAGCCCCAGCAAGACCCUCACUCUCUCCACAUCGAUGUUCGCAAUUCUGCUUCUGGGUCCGCGCCGUCACCUUCUCAAGAACGGCAAGACGCGUUGCUUGCUCAAGUCAAGAGAAUGCUGCGCUUCUCGGAGGCUGACGAGAGGAAUGUAAGAGACUUCCAAAGGAUUGUACAUCAAGUGGCCCAGGAGGAAGGGGAAGAGUCUCAGUAUAUGACGGAUUUUAGUGGGAGAGUGUUUCGGUCGCCUACUUUGUUCGAAGAUAUGGUCAAGUGCAUGCUACUCUGCAGUUGCCAGUCUGUUCUCUUUUCCUUCCCUUCCUGUUCUUCUCUUUUUAGCGUUUUCGUUUUGCCUAUCACCUGUUUGAUAUAAUGUGCCUUCUUUGGUUGGUUUAGUCGUGUUUGUUGUUUCUUGCGUAUUUUGCAAUUACUAGCCCCAUUUUGUUACAUCUUCAUGGAGCUCGCUGUCAAAUUUUGUUGCUAUAUAACCAAAAUGUUGCCCGCAUUUUUUCUCCUUUUUAUGCUCUAGAAUUGAUCCGGUUUGACCCGGAUUCGACCCGACCCGCGACCUUGACCCGGACGGAUCUCGCGAUUCAGGCCACCUCACCGGCCGAUCUUGGUACCGAUCUGAAGCUUGGAAGCCGGUUGUCAUAACCAAGCUGUCCUCACUGCCGGAAAACGGCAAGAACGCCGACGAUCGAAGCUCGAAAAAUCGCGGCAAAAACCCAUCACCAUCGCCGUUAAUUUCGCUGGAGUUUGGGCACACCUUCAGCUGGGUUCUACUCCUCACGUCACCAGCAUCAUUUUCCGACCAACCUUGUCACCUGAAACGGCCGGAUUGUCGACGAUCGGCCACUUGGAAAGCUCGCGGCUUUGGGAGCACGAUUCGCCGCCAUCACCGCGCGUGGGAACUCACGGCCACCACCGUCGGACUCACCGAGGUCUAAACUAUCAGACCUAAGCUUCCCGUCAUCGUUGACUGAAGUCCGGUCACCGUUGACCCGCGGGGGCAAUUCGGUAAUUUCAUAAAACUUUAGGGUGAAUUUGUAAUUUACGGAAUCAGUGGAUAAUUUGGUAAUUUUAGGUUAGAGCAGUGAGGUAAUUUGAGAUUUCGAGGGUAAUUCGGUAAUUUAAGUCAUUAAGGAUAUUUUGGUAAUUUUACGCGCAGAAGGUAAUUUCGUAAUUUCUGACAUUGUGGUAAUUUCGUGAUCUGAAUUGAGGACAAUUUAGCAAUUGAAGAUUCUGAGGAUAAUUUGGUAAAAUAAUGAUGUUGGGGGCAUUUUGGUAAUUUUGGCAUGUAAGAGUAUUUUGGUAAUUUUGUGCAUGUGGGAGUAGUUUAUUGUGGAUAGAUAUUCGUUUCGAGAAUUAUUAUGUUAAAUUAGUUAUAUUUUAAGUUUAUGGAGAAUGAUUAUGUCAUUUCCUUAAUUAGGAGGAUCCGCGAACGAGAAUCAACCCGCAGACGUUGUUGAUACCGAGUCUGGACUUUGUCACUGUGAGUGAAAUAUACAAAACCUAUUUUGAUAAUAUAUGCUGAUUUUAUGAUACAGUGCAGUAUGUUUUGUUAAUAAGUAUUUGAUGCUUCGAUUUAAUGAUUUUCUAGGAAAUUGAUUUUUAUCUCUCUCUCUCUCACGUGCCCCUCUCUCUACAACAACUACAAUUUAUUUGAUAUCGAAGGAUCUCAACUCAUCAAAGCAAUGGCGGUGUACUCAAAGACUCUAACUGCAACGGAUCUUUCUAUUGGGCUGAUGGUUAAUGCCAACCGUCUUGGAAAUUUUUUUCCGGCAUUCCCAGCUGGCCAAUACGAUCAACAGUUGGUUGUAGAGGACGAGAAUGGAAAACAUUGGGAAUUCUCCUUGCGCAUCAGGCGGGGACGGUUCGAGAAGCCCUGUAUCAGCAAACAAACCUGGCAUCCUUUUGUUGUGGAAAAGCAAGCUGAAGUUGGUGAUAAGGUUGAGUUUUCUAGGCAAACAGAUGGAGCUACCGGAUCAGCAUUCAGGUACAAGAUUAGAGUGAUGAAGCCAUAGAACCCACCAGCGGAGCUAUUCGGUUCUACUAUCGAUUGUGUUCGGCGCAUUCCAAACAAUUAAAAUGGACAACUGUUCGCUUUCUUUAUUAAUUGCAUGCUAUUAAACAUAUUAUUCGGUUUUUCUUUUCUAGUGGAAAUAAGAUUUGUUUGCAUUAAAAAAUUAAAAAAAGUUUAUUAUUAUACUGAUUUGCCAGAA